rnacentral:lncRNA from 1 species
UAGUCCAUUCCGAAGUUGUAGUUUGUUUUGACAUUUCCGUUUUAUUUAACCUAACCUAUGUUUUGUGUUUUAUUGUGUUGUAUACAAGGAGUUGUAUAUUGAAAUUGAAUUGAUUCUUGUUUCAUUGAAUAUAGAGGAGUUGUUCUGUUGCAAGUUGUUCUAGUUUUGUUGUUUUAAAAUCUGCGAAAAACUAUUUAUAGAUAAUGGUGAACUUAAACAAGAAAUGGACAUGCAGUUUGCUGAUUACUUAAUUGUGUACUCACAACACAUAGGAUUUCUCUGACACAGUUUCCAGUACAGAACUGCCACAGGAAUCUCCAGUGGAGUUGCAACCGCUCUCACGGACGUCCACAAAUCAAGUUACAAAACUGUUACAUGACUCUAUUGGAGUUGCAACCGCAAUUGGAUAAAAGUGAAAUUCGAAUAAUGCCAGAAAGACUAUAACUGUCCAAAGUGAUAGUGUGAAAUUAAAAUCAAAUGAUUACGUAUAAAUCAUAUUUAUAAUAAUUAUAAAUAGUAGCUGUAUUUUUUAAAUAAACAGAUUUGAUAAGUUA